AUACAACCGUAUACUUCAAUAACAAAACAAAGUCAAACAUGGAGCAGCAGAUGGACUCCCAACCUGAUGAUUAUGAGAAUGUGAUUUACAUCAGUUUGCAGAAACCAGCUGUUGAACCGUUCGUACAUUGAGCCGCCCCGAGUUGAAAACAAACGCAUGUCGCUUUGCAGGAAUAAGUGUAUUGUAGGGUUUUGAGUGUAUGAUGUCCUUAGAUCGUACAAAUCUCGAAGAUGUAUUGCACGUGCAUUGCAGUAAAGAAGUAUGAUAGUCCAAACAACAAGUGUUCUCACACUGUGUGAUGUUAGCGGAGUCUGUAAAGGUUUCCUUACUGUUGCAAUUAUUCUAUUGGCUGGGUGUGUGCGCAAUUUUAUUGUUUUCUUUAUGUCUGAUUCAACACAAAAGAAUGAGUCUGUAAAACCUACUUGCACAUUGUCACAGAGGGUGAACUCUGCUGGCAACCAAAUAAAUGUCAAAUAAACAAACGUAUAUCAGGUUGUUAUUAUUAUUAUUACAAGGUUUCAUCAAAGAGAUAAAUGUGCACACACUUUCUGUUGAGCUGCUUUCUGGUGCUGAGUGUUUUGUAAAUUACAUAAACUCCUGUUUUGUGCUUUUGGCACUGUG